rnacentral:rRNA from 1 species
UUUAAGCAUAUCACUCAGUGGAGGAACCCCAAGCAACUGCGGUUGCUGCAGUAAUGGCGAAUGAACUGGCACUAGAGCGCGUCCCGAAUGAGAUUCCUUACCCACUGCUGCUGCCUCCCAGGAGGCCAGUGUGUGGUCGGCUUCUGCUGGAUCUGUCGAAUGCUGUGGGUGAAAAAGCACUGGGCAGUGCUUGCUCUGUGGGCCAGCUGGCGGCACCAGGAAGACCCCUGGAAGGGGGCUACCAGAGAGGGAUACUGUCCUGUAUGCUGAGCCUGUGUGCCACAGCUGGGCCAUGAGUGCACUGACCUGGAUGCUGGAGUAGAACGGCUUGAGACUGCAGUUUGAACCGGGAGGUAUGUCCCUCCCAAGGCAGCCGCUACCACUGUGAGACCGAUAGUGCACAAGUAGAGUGAUUGAAGGAUGCAAAGGACUUUGCAAAGAGGGUUAAAAGUCCCUGAAGCCACUGCAGGCACGGCGGUGUGUGGUGCUACAAUACUCUGUCCCUGUUGCUUGCCAGUCGUCACCCCUGACUCCACCCUGCGGAGGAGGGGGGGAGAGGGAGCCCUGCCCCUUAACAAACACCGUUGUUGCCUGCUUGCUUGCUGUGUGCUCCAGUGCUCCAGUCAUCGUGCCUCCUGCCUUUCUCAAUGAGCAAUCCGUGCAACAUAGGCCUACGAUUGGGCUGCAGCCUCCUGGUUCCCAGUGGGCAGUGGGCACGCGGUGGUCGAUGUGUGGCACCCUGACUGUGCACGGCAAAAACACACCAGGUGUCCUUGAGCCAGCCCAGUGUGGCUAGUGAGCCUGCUCCCCCACUGCUCUCCUCACCGACGACGGUGGGGGAGUGGAAUGCAUUCCUACGCAGUCACUGGUGGCAGUCUGCCCUGCUGGGCUCGAGGUGAACGCACGCUGGGAAAACAGUGGCAGUGGCUGCAGCUGGUCUCGCGUUCCACUGUGGUGGAUGCGUCCAACGGCACGCCACCGUUACUGCUACUGCUGCUGAUGAGACCAGACCAAACUGGCUGGUGCAGCACUGCUGGUGUGUCCCCCCCCCUGGGGGGGGCAUGCCAGGCACCUGUGGUCCAAUCCGUCUGGCUUGUUACCGGUGCUGUCUGCGGGUGGUUACCACUGCUGCUAGCAGGGGCCACCGUUGACUUCUGGUAACCCAGUGGGACCACACUGGUGUGAAUUCGGCAGCUGAGCCUGGUGCUAGCCUAGUGCCACCCACUGCCCGUCUCGAAACACGGACCAAGGAGUCUAUGGAGCUUGCCUGUGUGAUGGUGCUACCAAGCCUUGCAGAGGGCAUGGUGAGAGCAACUGCUGUGAGACCCAGACGCACAGGGGGAGAACCUGCCAUGGGACCAGAGGAGCCAGUCCCACUAGGGAUGCCAGCCAGCCAGCUGGGGCUGCUGGUGGUUCUCUUGCCACUGGUGGCUGCUGCCGUCUGCUUCUGCCUGUGGUAGGUGCCCCUGACUGCAUGGGACACCAGUCCUGAAGUCCAGUGGACAGGGUUCUGAGUGCUACUGCAAGGUCCAUGGGACCCGAAAGGUGGUGAACUAUUCCCCGCCAUGACGAAGCCAUGGGAAACUGUGGUGGAGGUCAGCAGCUGUCCUGACGUGCAAAUUGUGUAGCCUGAGCGCGGCAUAGGGGUGAAAGGCCAAUCGAACCACCUGGUAGCUGGUUUCCCUCGAAGUUUCCCUCAGGAUAGCUGGGCUCACUGUGCUGUCCCUCUGCAGACCUGAGUGGUUAUGUCUGGUAAAGCAACGCAUGAGAGGCGAACUGUGGGGAGGUCCCUCCUCCUCACCCUAUUCUCAAACUGUGAAUGGGCAUGGCAAUCCGCUAUGCAUGCUUCUUUGCAAUCCUCCCUGAGGCUGGCCUGAGCCAGAUCCUCUGGUGGAAUCUCUGAGCAUGUUGGCUGGCACCACCCAGUGCAGGAGGGAGUGUGGUCCAGGCAUGCAAGCUCUGUGCUGCUGCCCACUGGAUCAGUGCUGCUCCUCUCCUAGCAAACCCCUACUGUGUGGACGGUCCCACCGCAGGCGUGCCUGCUGGGGGGGAAAGGAGCCGUCCUGCUGCUGCUGUGACUGAACAAGUGUGCCCAUGUGGACCAAUACUGGUAAGCAGUGCUGGUGAUGCGGGAUGCUCUGAGAGUGAUCCUACAGAACCUGAGUGCUGGCUCAUACACAGAUCCCACAAAGGAUGUCGCAUGCUCUGGAUAGCAGGUCGGUGGCCAUGAAGGUUGGAAUCCGCUAAGGAAUGUGUAACAACUCACCUGCUGAAGCGUGCGGCUCCGAAAAUGGAUGGUGCCCAAGCCAGUGACUGCCCCUGCCGCUGCCGUUGGGUCUCACAGAUCACUGCCACCGUGGCUGGGUCAUGCAGAGCAACCGGCAUGUAGAUGGACCCUGGUGUCCCCACGGCUCCUGCCUGGGGCAACCCUGGCAGGAGUGGCACCUGGUGCAGAUCUUGGUGGCAGUAGCGAAUACUCUGUCAGGCACAGGGCAGACACCCUGCUGCGUGUGGUUGAGGACUGGAGUGGAGCAGGUCUCCACACCAACAGCUGUUGAAUGUGGGCCAGCCGACCGUGAGCCAAGUGGUAACACACCACGCAGCCAAAGCAGUCAGCAUGCUGUGGGUGGCCCUGCCAGCCCCCUGCGAAUCCUCUCCCUCUCCCCCAGCCUGGAUAACUGGGGGCUGUGGUGGCGGCGUGCAGCCGGAAAACAAGAGCAGCCAAGGGAAAGGAAAGGGCACUGCUUACUGCUCUCGUCGCGAGAAGUGGGAGUUACCUCACAGUGCUGCCCUCCUGGUGAGCCAAUGGGAUGUGCUCAGUCGUCUCCCCUGCACAAUGUGCUGGGGGUGUGUGGCUAACAUGUGAGUGACUGGUGCUGCUGCUGCUGCUGCCGGUGGGACUGUCUCCCCUCCCCCCUGCCACCCCCCUCAGUGGGGGUGUGUGGGGGUGUGUGGGGGUGGGUGGUGGCCAUCUGCCUGGACUGGACUGGCAAACAGACCGAGCCGCCGCAACAUUCUGCUGUGAUGGGCACAGAGCAGCCACAACCCAAGCUGGUGGUGACACCAUGUGAGAUGGAGCAAGCAGGCCCAGGGGCAGUGCACCCCUCGAGGAGUUAUCGUUUCCUCCUGAUGCAAGGCACACCGUGGGCUACCGAUUGGCACGCCAAGUGGUGGUGUAUUUGCCCCCUGCGCAGCAAGGCAGCACACCCUCUGUGCUGGCUGGACUGAUCGGCUGGUCUCACUCCUAGUGUGAAUGGGUGGCCCUGGCUUCCGCUGGAACCAGAGCAGCCCCUGUGCAUCCCAGACCCUUGGUGGUCACUGAACUCCACUGAACAAGCCUGUGGGACAGACUCAAUGAGCUAUGCCCCAGGUCUUCGUACUGCAUCACCGCAGCAGGUCUCCUCGGUUCGACGCCGCUGGUCCACAGACUGAAUGCAGCUAAGGGAAGUCGGCAAACUGGCUGUGUACCCUGGGAAGAUGCAGUGGCUCCAGAGGUCAGGGCAUUGGGCCCCAGUGCAAUGGUGGUAGUGGCCCACUCUGCCGGGUGGGAGAGGCCAAUGGCAGUGGUGCCGUGCUCCCGACUGGUUCUGGGGCCGCACACCUGACUGGCCGCACCUGCUGCCGUGGGCCUUGCCAGUGCUGCUUCGUUGGUGGUUCUGCCCAGUCGGAAUGCCUAGCCUAGCCUUGUGCUGGGGGAGUCCUGGGGCACUCGUGGCCACUGGUUCUCCACCCUGAUGCCUACAUGUGACCUACAAUGGAACUGAUGCUGUGCAGGGGAAUCUGACUGUUUAAUUGAAACCCAGCUUUGUGAAGGGUCCAGCUGGCUGGUCCCACAAGGUGACUUCUGCCCAGUGCUCUGACUGUCAACAUGGAGAGACUCAGUCGAGCGCGGGUAAACGGCGGGAGUAACUAUGACUCUCUUAAGGUAGCCAAAUGCCUCGUCAGCCAAUUACUGACGCGCAUGAAUGGAUCAACGAGAUUCCUGCUGUCCCUAGCUGCUGUCUGGUGAAACCACAGCCAAGGGAACGGGCUUGGAUGCGCCA